AUUUGGGAACCACUGGGCUAGAGGAUACAAUUUACAGUAUCCAAGAGACAUUUUAUUUUGCAAAGGGGACCAAUAUGUACUGGGGCACAAAUGAGAGUUCUGUGACUGAGUGAGGAAAGUUGUAAAUGCAACUAUUUUUGGGUGCCCAACGUGGUAAUAUAUGUAGGAAAAUUUAAAGCCAAUCCCUUCCUGCAGUGACAAGACAUGAGUAACCACUCCAGCUAUAGUCCCAGUAAAAGAAAUCAAAUAAUUCAUACAUUGAUUAAAGUGUGACACUGUCUUAUUAUUCCAUCAGCAUACUAUGUGCAUGCCAGCAAAGAAAAAAUAUUGAAAGAGAAAAGAAGAACUCUUUUUACUGUUAGUUAAGUGAGCUCCUGCAGCUGUAAGAUGCCAUAUACACUUGAUGCAGGAACUGACAACAUUCAAAUCCAACAGCAAUAGUCAGUUAAAACAUUUCAACUAAGGCAGUUUACCAAUGCAAAACCUACUGUUCUUAAGAUCAGAACUUACACAAUUAAGGCUUUGCUGCUGCUGUCACCAAUGAGAUCCAUGAGAAAUUUCAGAUGAAGAAUGCUUAUUGUAAUGGAACUGGGAACUUUAACAAGGCAGAAUCAACAUUAGUAACAAACAAUAAGUUUUGAUUCUUCUUGGUCCCAGGAUAUUAGACACACAAGGUGGGGGAGAUAUUUUAUUGAACCAACUCCUGUUGGUGAAAACAACAAGGUUUCUCACAUACACAGAGCUAUUAUUCAGAUAUUACCUCACCCACCUUGUCUCUCCACGUUUUAAUUCUGACAAAGAGAUUGUUUAAGUCACUCAAAUUAACCCAAGAUUUCAUUCAAUAGAGCAGCACUGGUUUGCUUGGAGCUUUACUGUCUUGUUGUAGGAUUCUAUAGGCUGGAAAGAAGCAGAUCUAGUGCUCACAUUCAGAGAAAUUAUUCCUUUAGGCUCCAAAUUGUACAUAAGGUACAUAAGACUGUGAGUAGUUCUAUGGACAUGAAUGAUGGCUUUAAUUAGGAAUUUUAGUAAUUACAAUUAGUAGGGUUUUUGUUUUUAAAUGAGAGCCUCAACAGCAGGUGGUUUGCAUUUCUCUUUCUUGAAGUUCCUCUUUAAAUAUAUCAUUAAAUUAGAAAAAGCAAGUCCAAUUCAGAGCAACAUUAAGGCUGCGCAAUCGUCGCUAAAAGGCAAAAAAAAUAAAAUAAUUAAGGUUCCAACAGUAACAUUAACUUGGCUUCAUUACACUUACUGUAUGUCUUAUGAUAUACAUCUUUUUACAUCAUACAAUAUUAUAGAGAACUGGAAAACAGUCAUAAAAUAGAAUACAUAGAUACAACAUCUACGUUUGUGUUGUUUUUGGAACCUUAAAUUCUGCACUUCCUGACUUUAGGUGACUUUAAGCAAACAACCUUAAUAAUGCAUUGUAUUAACAUAAUUUUUUCACUUUAUUUCUGAUUUUUUUCUAAAGAAAAAAAAAUCUAAAAGUAGGGCUAAUGCUUAAGUUGUUAACAUAUGUGACAUCUGUAAACUCUUUCAAGAGCUUAAGCCACAUAUACAGUUUACUCUAAAAACAACUGGUCUAAAGCUUACAUUAUGAAGUUGCAUGUUUGUUUCUAAACAUAAAAUUUGCUCAGUUUACAAGAUUUUUUUUUUUUUUUUUUAAAUCCAAUCCUCCUGCCAGAAACCCUGCCAGGCUUGCAAAUUCAACUUGGGAUCUGAAAGUCAAGCUGUUUUUCUUUCCAUCUUGUUAACUAUGGUCAAUAAUGAAUUGUGCAGAACAAUUUGUCCUCUGUUACACCUGUGCAACUCCAAUGUUAUCUUCUACUUUCUUUCACCCUUGACCUCAAUAGAGUGAGACUACAAUCUUGCAACUCUCACGUUUAACAAUUCUGUUGAUUAUGCCCCAACCCAGUAUGGAAUCUAGCCAAGUCUUCUAGUAAUACAGCAGUAUUGAUAAGAAUAAAAAGUACUACAAGUUUAUCUUAUUAAAUUAAGUAGAUAUUACUGAAAAAGACAUGGAGCAAGUCCAUUAAGUAAGAGAUGACAAUUUUUACAGAGUUACUCGAGACUAGAGCAGUAGUCUCCAACCUUUUUCGUCUGGCAGGCGCCAGAUGACGAGCCACAGCGGACCGUAGCGGCGGACGAGCAUCC